CCUUGCAGGUGGAAGAGAAUCUGUAACAAGAUUGGGAAAGAAAGAGGAGAAAAAAUUUCUUUUCCAUUCCAUGGGAAAAUAACGUGUUGAAUUAUCAUCUGGAAACUGUGGGAAGAGCCAACAUGAGCAACGAGAGGCCAGUGAACCCUGGUUCAUCUCCACUGACUGAAGGCCUGAAGAGAAAGAGAGGAAGACCAAAGAAGCAGACACAGGUGGAGGCUGGGGGACAAUUGCUGGUGAAGAAACCACGAGGAAGGCCAAAAGGAAGCAAGAAAGUGAGCACUGUAAUUGGACAAAUGGUAGGACCUCCUGCUGGAAAAAGGCCAAGAGGGAGGCCCCGCAAGUGGGUGAGUACAGUGUUCAGUCCUUUUCUUCUCCUCCAGCCACAGAGCCCAGGCUGGGAGGGAAGCUUCUCUUGCAUUUGUUCUUCUCAGGCUCUGUCGGCAACGACAUUCAGCCUAGCUGACCCAGGAAUCCAACACAUUAGGGAAGCUCUGACUGCCCUUCCAGUACCUCAUUCCCAAGAUUCAGUUCCUGAAACCUCCUGGGAGCCCGGGAGAGCUGCUAUACUUAAUUUAAGACAUACUAGUCUUCUACAGUCCUUCCCAGACUGGGAGGUCAGACCAGAGAUCCUAUCCAUUCUCAAGCAGAGAGGUUGUCUUCCCAAGAAUCCCAACAAACUGGAGUGAGUGCUUAGCAUGUCAGUUUGCCUCAAAAGAAGAAACUUAGAGUUAAAAAAAAAAAAAAAUUAGUGAAUGACAAAACUUUGAAUCCUGCCAGCAGGAGGCUCUUAUAUGCAGCAAACAAAGGAUUAGUAAGAAUCAGUAGUUAGAAGAUGAAUAUUUCAGUCGUAAAAAAAAAAAAAAA
rnacentral:lncRNA from 1 species